rnacentral:rRNA from 1 species
UGCAAGUCGAACGGUGAAGCCAAGCUUGCUUGGUGGAUCAGUGGCGAACGGGUGAGUAACACGUGAGCAACCUGCCCUGGACUCUGGGAUAAGCGCUGGAAACGGUGUCUAAUACUGGAUAUGAGAUGUGAUCGCAUGGUCAUGUUUGGAAAGAUUUUUCGGUCUGGGAUGGGCUCGCGGCCUAUCAGCUUGUUGGUGAGGUAAUGGCUCACCAAGGCGUCGACGGGUAGCCGGCCUGAGAGGGUGACCGGCCACACUGGGACUGAGACACGGCCCAGACUCCUACGGGAGGCAGCAGUGGGGAAUAUUGCACAAUGGGCGGAAGCCUGAUGCAGCAACGCCGCGUGAGGGAUGACGGCCUUCGGGUUGUAAACCUCUUUUAGCAGGGAAGAAGCGAAAGUGACGGUACCUGCAGAAAAAGCGCCGGCUAACUACGUGCCAGCAGCCGCGGUAAUACGUAGGGCGCAAGCGUUAUCCGGAAUUAUUGGGCGUAAAGAGCUCGUAGGCGGUUUGUCGCGUCUGCUGUGAAAUCCCGAGGCUCAACCUCGGGUCUGCAGUGGGUACGGGCAGACUAGAGUGCGGUAGGGGAGAUUGGAAUUCCUGGUGUAGCGGUGGAAUGCGCAGAUAUCAGGAGGAACACCGAUGGCGAAGGCAGAUCUCUGGGCCGUAACUGACGCUGAGGAGCGAAAGGGUGGGGAGCAAACAGGCUUAGAUACCCUGGUAGUCCACCCCGUAAACGUUGGGAACUAGUUGUG